rnacentral:RNase_P_RNA from 1 species
UAGGUGCAACAGGUAGUUGCUGGUGACUUUUUGAGUCACGAGAGGAAAGUCCGUGCUACACGUGAGAUAGGACUCCAUCUAACGGAUGGCUAGAGUAAUCUAAGGGCAAGUGCAACAGAGAGUAGACAGCCUAUUUAUUAUCUUUUAAUAUUGGGUGAAGGUGAAAGGGUGGUGUAAGAGACCACCAGUGCUUAUGGUAACAUAGGUAGCUAGGUAAACCCUGUCCGUAGCAAGAGGCACAUGGUAAAAAUCUCACUAUGUCAUUGGAUUGACAAUAGUGUCUCGCUUGAGCGUAUGGGCAACCAUACGCCUAGAUAAAUAACUACCCAACGACAAAACACGGCUUAUCGUUGCACCUAAAUU